CAGAGCUACCCUGCCAUGAGGAACUCAGGCAGCCCCAUGGAAAGGCCCAUGUGAUGAAGAACUGAGAUGAAGAACAUGCCAACAGCCAUGUGAGUGAGUCAUAUUGAGAGUGGAUCUCCCCAGACACGCCUUCAGAUGACUGCAGUCUGGGUGAUGUUGACUGAAACCUCAUGAGAGAUCCUGAGCAGAACUACCCAGAAAUCCUGAUGUUAUGUAAGAAGUCCAUCUACCCAGAGGCCACCAUAGCUUCACCCAGAGAAGCCAUGUAUAGAUGUUCUAUCCAGCAGUUCCCUCUUAGGUUGGUCUUCUGGUAAAGAUACUAGACAUCUGAAUGAAACCAUCUUGGAUUGUACAGAACACUCUGUCUGCCAGAUGAAUGCCAUAUGUCCUCUGUCAAUGGAACAGAUUUCUCCAGGUGCCUUUGACUUUGUGGGUGAGUCUGGAAGCAAUAGCUGCAAACGCAUGCAUUUGCCUCUCUGGUUGCAUGAAAGAAUGGAAAUGCACAAAGAAGCCAAAGCAAGCAUGUGUUGUUCUGAGGAAUAACUUCCACGCAGUCUUCAGAAACUAGGUUCCAUUAGAAAGUCAAUACUCCCUCUGCGCUCCCCUUGCUGCCAAUAACUAAAGCUGCCAAUGAAGAGUGAGUUUGUGAUGCAGCCUCCCCACCAUUUCUACCUUUAUUUACUCUGCACUCUGUGUCCUCUGGUUCCUGUC